rnacentral:misc_RNA from 1 species
AGAGAAUCCGUGCUUACAACUUGCCCAUUCUCGGCCCUGAACCGUAAACUACCAUCUCGAGGAAUAUUCCGGCUAUCGAAAUAAGCUUCAAAUAUUCCACGACUUAACAAUGUCCAUGCAACAUGUCCAUUAGGAACAAGAACCGUGCGCGAUAACAGGCGAAUCGUGGCUGCUUUAAAUAGGAAAACAGCGUGGAAGCCGGCGGCUUGGGCAAGUUGGACGGUGGCUGCUUAAGGAUAAACUGUUUUACUUGGCGCCCGGAAGCGUAACAACGCAACCCCUCCACCCACGAAAUACGUAAGGCAAUACCGGAAGGGCUAGCAGGGCGAAAAAAGAAGCCAGAGGCUUUCCCGGGCUGUCAACACAAUUUGCGUCGUCGCAAGCAAUUCCGCGAGUCGCCGGGAGGUUCGCUUUCCGGCAGAUUGCAUACGACGAUCGUGAUGAGUUUGCUUUCGCGUCGUAGACGACUAGGACGACGGAUAUCACUGCCGGAGCCAACUGUUCCGCGGAGUAAACAUACCCAAGGGUAGCACGAAGGGAUGGAUCAAGCCACGAGCGUCGAAACUCGGGCCUUUUUGCACAAUAAUUGUUAAGAAUUUUGGAUCUUAAUAGCUGAAAUAAUGCGAAUACUACGAGUUGCGUCGUGCCGUUAACCGGUUUCCCUACGCUGAAAAUUGGACGAGAAUUAGGCACUGUUCGCUCUCCGCUUAGAUUACGAAGCCGAAGGAGACGCGUGCCUUCCGCUCGCCAGACACAACGUUUGCCUCGUGUUUUCGGACACGUUGCCGUCGACUGCGUUCCACUUGAGAACGAGCCACUUUGUCAGGAAGUUGUUCGGAAGAGAUGAAAACAGAGAAUUCCGUGUUUCCAACUGGAACAGAUUGGGAGGAUGAAAGAGUUAGGCUCUGUAGGAAUUAGAGAAAGGUGUAUGGGGUUUUGUUUUACGAGCGUGUUUUUCGAAUUUGUUUAGAGGAAGAUGCAAAAUAAAGUUGAGAUUGUUUGGA